UACGGAGGGUGCAAGCGUUAAUCGGAAUUACUGGGCGUAAAGAGUGCGUAGGUGGUUGAUUAAGUUAUCUGUGAAAUCCCUGGGCUUAACCUGGGCAGGUCAGAUGAUACUGAUUAACUCGAGUAUGGGAGAGGGUAGUGGAAUUUCCGGUGUAGCGGUGAAAUGCGUAGAGAUCGGAAGGAACACCAGUGGCGAAGGCGGCUACCUGGCCUAAUACUGACACUGAGGCACGAAAGCGUGGGGAGCAAACAGG
rnacentral:rRNA from 1 species